rnacentral:rRNA from 1 species
AGAAUCAACGCUGGCGGCGUGCCUAACACAUGCAAGUCGCACGAGAAGGGACUUCGGUCCUGAGUACAGUGGCGCACGGGUGAGUAACACGUGAAUCAUCUACCUCCGAGUGGGGAAUAACCUAGAGAAAUCUGGGCUAAUACCGCAUAACACUUACGAGUCAAAGCAGCAAUGCGCUUGGAGAGGAGUUCGCGGCAGAUUAGUUAGUUGGCGGGGUAAUGGCCCACCAAGACGAUGAUCUGUA